rnacentral:lncRNA from 1 species
CUAAUGAGGAAGUCAAAUAGGCAUUGGCAGCUGGAUUUUGCCGCUUACCAACCCAGAGACGUUUUUAUUUAUUCUUUUCUUAAUCUUGUUUUCAGCCUCUUCCUUGCUUACUGUUUAAUAGACUAUUCCAAGAACACGUUAUUCCCUUUCAUUUCUUUAAUACAUUUUUUUGCUAUUCUACUCACCGGCUUUAUCUCUGGCCGGAGCCGUUAAGGUAAAAGGGGUUUAAAUGAGAGAUUAAUGAAAAUUUUCAGUUACUUUCUUCUUACUACUUCAAACAAGUAUUCUGUAACAUACGAAUUGUACUAAGAAACGCUUCGCCUCAGGGGACAUGGCCAUGCGUUAUAGUCUUGAUAGCACAUACAAAAAUAAUCUUGUCGACAAGUUAUACUACUUGCACAAACGAAAAUUUGUUUGACAAGUUCUAAACUACAAGUCUACAAGUCACACACGCACUCUACCAUAUCCGGAUGACAUCAUUAGUAUAAAUAAUUUUAGUCAAUCCUAACUCAAAAUGUUUUACCUUAUUCAUUAAAUGUUGUUGAAAUAGGUGGUCCUUGAAAUGUUGGAUUAUUAGAGAAGAGACAUACACAUUUAGUUAUAAGUUCCCUUUCAACUAAUGGAAGCAAAGAGUUAAGUGUCAGUCAUCUAACUGAGAAUCAUCCACCUAUAACUAAAAAGAGACGCACC